rnacentral:lncRNA from 1 species
AGAUACAAUAUAAUAGGCCAGCCUUUGGCUUGUGCUGAACCCUCUUUAAAGAUUCAACAAAUUAGCACAUUUUCACUGAAAUGUUGAAUAUUUGUGACAUGAGAAUACAGCUUGUUCACAAAACUACCAAGUUAAAUUAUAGAGUUUCAUAGUUUUGCUGCAAACCUUUGACAAGAUUGUCAUUAACAAUACACAUUCCUUUUCAAAACACACACACAGUGACACAUUCCAUAUAAUCUUAAUGAUCACCAAGAGAAACUAACAUUAGGAAGCUAACUGGAUGUUGUUUUCAUCUGCAACCAAUGGUAGUGGAUGCUUUCAUUCAAAAGAUGAUACGUCGCCCCGAACGAAGAAAAGUCCGGAAGGUCCACCAUUGGGGAGAAGAGCUAGCUUCACUGCACUUUCAGCACCUUCUUCGACAGUUAAUCGGCCAGUAUUGAAAUUUAUAUCCGUUUUAACAAAGCCAGGACAAACAGCAUUGAUGCAGAAAGUUGGGUAAUUCUUGGCCAAAAUCCUUGUGUAUGCAUUCAUUGCUGCUUUUGAGACUGUAUAUGCUGAUAUAAAAGAAGGCCAAUUUUCGGCUUGUACUAAACCCUCUUUGAAAUCUUUCAGAUACUUAUUCAGCACCUCAUCCACUCUCUCUUCUGUAAGGUUUUGGGCAUCAUUUAGUAUUCCCUUUGCCCAUUCAUUUCGUAAAUUCUGAAACAGAAAAAUCUAUGGUCAAUGAUACUUAAAAAUUUAAUCUUUGUAUGUGAAAAUAAAAUCUAUAUACCUACAAGGAGGUGGAUCAAGCCUAUGGUUCUUAAAAUUCGAUAGCCUAAUGUUUAAAGAGAAGACUAGAACUUAAGAAACUUAAAUAAUUUGCAUAUGACUCUUGUGAUCUACGAGUGCUAUCAAAUCUUUUCAGGGAAGGGAAAGUUGAACGCUUUAUUUCCAAUUUUAGAAAGAAAACGUCCUAACUUCCCCUUCUCUUCCGGUCUUCCCUCUGAAUAAAACUCACAAACACAGGAUCAAACGGGUGGAACAGGUGAAUAAAGGGAGGUGCAUUUACCGAAACAAGUAGAUGCAGAAAAUAAACAAUUUGACAACUAGAAUAACACAGCAUAAAGUGCAAUUGAAUUUCUCAAUAAGAUUAGAAAAUAUAAAAGUAAAAUUACAUGUGAUGAAUGUCAUUACCUCCAAUCUUCCCAUGGAGGAGGAAACAUUUACAAUAGUUGGUGAAUCAGAUAACUGAAGGAGGGGAAUUAGUGCUUCUAUCAUUCUUUUUGCCCCAUAGUAGUUUGUUUGCAGGCAUUGCUCUGUCAACUCAUAGGUCUCGGUGACAAUUUCAUCCCAUUUAAUAACUUCAAACUGAAUCAUGAACAAUUAUAUGAAUACGAUCGUAGUGUUAGCAAUUGUCAAUGUUCUGAAUUUCAAGCCUAUGCUAUUGGGAAAAGGUUAUACAAUUUAGUAGAUGCAAGAGGCCUACAACAGAUUCAAGUUCUCAAUUCUUUCUUUAAAAAAAAUUCAACAAGCUAAUACAAUAAUAUAGCUAAUAAAAGAGUUCAUACAUAAUUAACUCUCAGAAAGUCUAUUGAGUGUGUUUGCAACACCUUCAAAAAGGGCUUUAUUAGCAGAUAGUAAAAUGCAUAUACCAUAAUCAUUUUAUAAGGAAAAAAUAGAUUGAUAUUAAACAUUUGCAUUAGUAUACUAGCUCCCACCCCACUCCACACACCCCAACAAACACAAAAAACGAAAACAAAACCCAACAAAAAAGGAAUAAGAAAGAAAGGCAGCCAACUUUUUCCUUUUAGUCUCAUCUCUUUCCUUUUCCUAGGAACAUCAAACAGCAUCAUCCAAACAAAUUGCAUAAUAAGUUAAACUGUCAAUUAACAGUAAAACUUACCUUAAAGUUGGUUGUAGAGAAAUAUGUUAUACAACAUAUAUAACCAUAGAAAUUAACUCACCCCGACAUUAUUGGUCACGAAGGUUGUAAAAGCAUCUUCAUGUAUUACAGCUCCCACAAUUCCUGCAUUGUUCACCUGUACAAUGUUACUACUUCUCUCACUACUUAUUAGCAAAAGUUAAAUUUUUUACUAGCAGUAAUUUAUGAUUGUGGGUUUUGUUCUGAAGGCUUUGCAUUUUUCUGAUUACUCUAGUUGCAUUAUAUUAUUUGGAACAAGGAGGGAGAAGCUAACUAUCCAAACAACAACUCAUACUAUUGCAUAGUUACAGAUGAUUAUAUAAUUUAUUUUAAAAGAACUUAAGAGGUCAACAAAACAUAUGGAUAUGGUUCAUGCUAGUUGCUUAAACAAGAUCAUGACUAACUUUAUGUUUAAUGUAGAUUGUGUUAGGAAAAAUGAAUGGACACUAUAUAUAUAAACUUAUCUCGACAUGAAUUUGUCAAGGCUAGUUGCCCAGUCCCGCAUCGAAAGAUAAUAGAAAAAAUUUGUCUGCAUAUAAAGAAAUAAGUUAUUACCAAUAAUAUCUUCAAGUCAUGACCUUUUAAGUGAGCUUGUGGUGGGCUACGAUGACCCAAGAAGAUACUAUUGGGUCAGUGAUUUGAUUCGAUUCGAACUUGAAAUUUGACCUGAGAUUUGUUCCGGACUCGGGAUUUGACCCGGGUUGUUUCAUAUGGUAUCAAAGCCGACUCUUGAAAGCUCGAGUUGGGUUGCCAGAGGUGGGGACACGAAGUGGAGGGGUUUUACCAGGUUGGGUUGCCAGAGGUGGGGACACGAAGUGGAGGAGUUUGUAAAACCCCAGUACUAUAGUAGCACCACUCCAAAAUAGCAUUAUACUACGAACCAAAAGAAAUGCUCUAGACUCUCUCAAUUUAAACUAUAAUUUGCUUAUGAAAUGAUGAAGACUUGAAGACUUAGAAUGUUUAAAUGCUUUGAUGAAUUGAAUGAUUCAAAUGGCAGCCCCCAAUCUAUUUAUAGGAAGGAUUAGUGACCCAUCAAAUGGGGCACAACCCUUUGAAAAGACAUCUUUAGCAAAAAAAGAGACGUAGUUUUUGGUUUUAGAAGAAAGGGCGCGUCCGUUCUGGCAAAAAACGACGUAGUUUUAGGUUUAGCAGAUCAAAAACGACUUAGGCUUAGCAGAACAAAAACGACGUAGUUUUAAAAUUAGCAGAAACGGCGCGUCCAUUCAAGCAAAAACGACGUAGUUUUGGGCGUCCGUUCAGGCAGAUAGCUUCCCAAAAGUUUGGCAGAUAACGCUUUCCAAAAACAACAGUUUUGAUAUAAAACUAAAAUAAAAUAAACAAAAAUUUGUCCAAAAAAUUAUAUAUAAGGACCUAGAUCCAAUCCCACUGGCGCGUAUGGAUUCAAACUCAAGGGCAACUUUAUUGUAUAUAAACCAAUUAAUAAUUUAGUUCUUAACCGAUGUGGGACUUAGUUUCCCACAAAUAUUUAUUAUCAUUUCCAAGGAUGAUCUUUGGGAGUUAAUUUCUCGUUCAUUAAUCCAUAGAUUUGAGCUUCCAAGAGUAGAACACAUUGAUAUGUAAAUUCACUUCAAAUAAUUAAUGAAACCCACUUCAAAUUUGGCUCAAAUUCUAACAAGCGACUAAUGCGGAACUGUAGGUGAUAAGAUAAGUAUAGCCUAGUAUGAUCAAAGUCAACCAAUAUUUAAUCCCAUAAAUAAAAAUCAAGAGCAAAAAUUAGAUGAACUAAAGUAAAAAUAGAAAAUUUUAAAAUAAAAAAAAAUAUCAAAAUUUUCCUUUCAGUCAUACCAAGAUAUCAAGCUUUCCCAAUUUGGUCUUGAGAAAUUCAGCAAGAGAAGCAACACUAGCAGGGUCUGCAACGUCAAGCUGAUGAAAGAUGACAUGAACAUCAGAAUCACCAGAAUACCCUUUGACUUUCUCAAGAGCUUCAAUUCCCCUCUUUUCAUCUCUUGCAGUCAAUACCACAGUGAUACCAUGAGAAGCUAAUUGCUUGCAUAUUUCCAAUCCUAUCCCUUUAUUUGCCCCUGUAACAACUGCAUACCUACAAAAAUAUAUGCAAUAAACAAAAAUUUUGCACUGUUAGAUUUUCUUAUGCAGGGGCAGAUGGGAAAAGUGAAAAAUCUAGAGGGUAUCCAAGAAAAAAUUAGCAGACCUCUUUGUUGCAGAACUGGUGACUGGUUCUGCCAUGAUUGAUGAGAUGGGUUUUCUUGAAUUUUCCAAAAAAGAGAGAGAUUUAUGUUAAGCCAAGAGAUGUUCUUGCUUUUUAUUUCUUUAUUGCUUUUUAAAUGUUAAAAUGUCGUGGACAAAAAGUAUACACUUCUUUUUAAUCCUUCUUUUGUUUUUUCUUAUUCAUUUUUUUCUCAUUUUCUGUCCCUCAUCAUUUAACUUUGACAUGUGGCCGAAAAAGAAAAUGUCAUAUACACAUGUAUAUUGUGUAUUUCAACCUGACAUAUGAGACUUAUAAGUAUGUAUGCGUGUGUGAUCGAUCAUUAUGCUAAUAUUUUUUUAUGUGAUAGUAAUAUUAUUUUUAAAAUAUUUUUUUCCUUGUGUAUGCCUUCAUUGCUGCUUUUGAUACUACAUGUGCUGACAUAAAAGCAGGCCAACUUUUGGCAUGUACUAAACCCUCUUUGAAAUCUUUAAGAAAUUCAUUUAUUACUUAAUUCUUAUGUGAGGUUUUGGACAUCAUUCCUUUGCCCAUUCAUUUCGUAUUUUCUGAAACAUAUAAAUACAAUUCUAGGGUCAAUGAUCAAUAUUAAUAAGGAAAUUGUUAAAUCUAUAGUACUUUUUAUUAUUUUCACAACAAAAAUAUUGCUCUAAAUGUAUAGCGACGGUGAAAACUGUAGCUAUAAGAUCUAUAACGACACUUUUGUUGUGAAAAUAAUAUUUUAUGUUGUGGAUUUAACAGUUCCUUAUUAAUAAAUAUGGCUUUCGAAUGUGUAACAAAAUCUGUAUAUUUUUUUACAUUUAGAUCAAGAAAAUGUUUGAUGAAAAUUUAUAAACUAUUGUUAUAGGAAAGACUAGAACUUAAGAAACUUAGAAAACUAUUGAAAAUUUUGCAUAAUUUUAUUAAUUUAUUAACUUUUCAAGAGGAAGUAAACGUAUCUACUCGAACAUCGGCUCGAAAAUAUGAUCCAAAGCUCGAAUUCGAAGUUGAUCCGAGUCGAAUCUGAUCCAUACUCGUUUUCUAUUUAAUGAUACACGAGUCGAAUUCGAGCAUACCAGUGUUCACUCAGAUUAAGGUUCGAGUAUUUCAUUUUUUCUCGAAUCAUACUCGAUACCUGCUCGAUGGAUCAUAUUCGAAUAUUGGUCUGAUCCAUGCUUAGUAAGCUAAAUAUGUGAUAUUUAUAUCAAUCUUUAUAAUUUUUGAAGUGUAGUAUGAAAUUGUGUAAACUUGUACUUGAAUAAAUCAAUGAAUUGAAUGUCAAUUUUUAUUACAUUCUUUAUAAUUUCAAUACAUAAAUAAAAGUGAAAAAGUUUUAUAUAUAAAUAUUAGUUAAGUAACCAAUUUAGUAUGUAGUGGUUCAGUUUUAAGUGAAACGGUUUAUAUUCGAAACUCGAUUUGAAGGCUCAUGAGUAACUCGCUUUGUAAACGAGUCGAGUACUUACGAGCCGAGUAGGUCCGAGUAAUGAUCCGAGUCGAAUCUGGCGCAAAAAUAUAAAUCCCUUAUCGAAUCCAAGUCGAAUCCGAGCUCAAUUUUUUCGAGUCGAGCCGAAUCUGAGCAUGAAGGUGUUCGCCGAGAUUCGACUCGUUUACCCCUAGACACACGGUCAAAAAAGAUUCUGAACGAACACAUUUCAUUCAUAAGGUAAGACUUAAUGUUUUACCUAUGUUUCUCCUUUCAAAUUCCUUAAAAUAUUGAUAAAUCCUAGAUUUAACUUGAGAAGGAUACUUAUAGCCUAUAACUUGAGAAGGAUAAACUUAUAGUCCUAUAAGUUAUAGGACUAUAUCUAUAAUUUUCUGCAUCCACCAAAGUAUUUAAGUUCACAAAACUGCUUGAUAAUAUCUAUGAAAUGUUGAAUGUUUGACACGAGAACACAGCUUGUUCAACAAGUUGCUCACAAAUCGAUUAAGUUAGCUGCAUGGAACUUCACACACAUUUCUUUCUGUGGAAAAGAGGGAUUAUUACUUUCUAUAUACAAUGUUUCUCAUGAAAAAGAAAGAGAGGUGACUUUCACAGUUUCACUACAAACCGGUGAGGAGAUUAUCACUAUUAAUACAUUCUCCAACAUUCAUUUUCAAAAAUAAGUUAUACAUACAUUCCAUAUAAUUUAAUGAACACUACUCGAGUUUCAAGCUAUCAUCUCCAGUAGCUAAACUAUGUGAUGGACUAUAUUUAGUCCAUAUGACAUCAGCAAAUGUCCUUUAGUCUCCCAUCUUUCCAGCAGAUAGACUAACUCGUGGACUAUAAUAUAAAAAGAUUAAAAUAAUCUAUGAAUUCAAAAAAGCUCCAAUCUCCUUCCACUCUCCCAUUUAAAUAUAAUUAAAAUUAUAGUCCAUGGACUAUCAAGUUCCUGGAUUUAGUCUUAUUGGUGCUUCAAAUAUAGUCAUAGACUAUAUUUAGUCUACCUGUUGGAGCUGGAAGAUAAAUCCUAAACUAAAUAUAGUCUAGGAUUGUGCUGCUGGAGUUGCUCAAGAGAAGCUAGCGGUAGGAAGCUAACUGUAUGCUGUUUUUAUUUGCAACUUUCAUUCAAAAGAUGAUAUGUCGCCGCGAAAAAAGAAAAGGCCAGAAGGCCCACCAUUGGGGCGACGUAUCAUUAAAAAGAUGAUACGUCACCCCGAAAGAAGAAAAAUCCGGAAGGUCCACCAUUGGGGAGAAGAGCUAGCUUCACUGCACUUUCAGCACCUUCUUCGACAGUUAAUUCGCCAGUAUUGAAGUUUAUAUCCGUUUUAACAAAGCCAGGACAAACAGCAUUGAUGCAGAAAGUUGGGUAAUUCUCGGCCAAAAUCCUUGUGUAUGCAUUCAUUGCUGCUUUUGAGACUGUAUAUGCUGAUAUAAAAGAAGGCCAAUUUUCGGCUUGUACUAAACUCUCUUUGAAAUCUUUCAGAUACUUAUUCAGCACCUCAUCCACUCUCUCUUCUGUAAGGUUUUGGGCAUCAUUUAGUAUUCCCUUUGCCCAUUCAUUUGGUAAAUACUGAAACAGAAAAAUCUAUGGUCAAUGAUACUUAAAAAUUUAAUCUUUGAAUGUGAAAAUAAAUUCUAUAUACCUACAAGGAGGUGGAUUAAGCCUAUGGUUCUUAAAAUUCGAUAGCCUAAUGUUUAAAGAGAAGACUAGAACAUAAGAAACUUAAAUAAUUUGCAUAAUGACUCUUAUGAUCUACGAGUGCUAUCAAAUCUUUUCGGGGAAGGGAAAGUUGAAUGCUUUAUUUCCAAUUUUAGAAAGAAAACGUCCUAACUUUACCCUCCCUUCCCUUCUCUUCCCUCUGAAUAAAACUCACAAACACACCAUAAGGGUCAAACAGGUGGAACAGGUGAAUAAAGGGAGGUGCAUUUACCGAAACAAGUAGAUGCAGAAAAUAAACAAUUUGACAACUAGAAUAACACAGCAUAAAAUGCAAUUGAAUUUCUCAAUAAGAUUAGAAAAUAUAAAAGUAAAAUUACAUGUGAUGAAUGUCAUUACCUUCAAUCUUCCCAUGGAGGAGGAAACAUUCACAAUAGUUGGUGAAUCAGAUAACUGAAGGAGGGGAAUUAGUGCUUCUAUCAUUCUUUUUGCCCCAUAGUAGUUUGUUUGCAGGCAUUGCUCUGUCAACUCAUAGGUCUCGAUGGCCAUUUCAUCCCAUUUAAUAACUUCAGACUGAAUCACGAACAAUUAUA